rnacentral:rRNA from 1 species
AUGGAGGACGCCUACCUUGUGCCGGCGAUUUUGUGGCUCGUGCAAACCAUCCUCGGCACCAUCGGGAUCUGCGAGCUGGAUUCGUGGAUCCGCCAAGCCAGGCUUCACGAUGACAUCCAGAACCUCAAGUCCGAGCUCGAGGUAGUCCAGGCAGUGGCCACCGAUGCGAAGGGGAUGGCACUCCAGAGUGCGCGGCUGGCUAGAUCUCUCGCCGAUCUCAAAAGGUUUCUGUACGAUGCCGACGACCUGGUCGACGAGCUCGACUACUGGAGGCUCCGGCACCAAGUCGAAGGAGUUACUUUGCAGGAGCCUGAUGGCAUGCAUGAAGCAGCACGAGUAGAUCAUGGCACAUCCAGAGGCGAUGAUAAUAUUCUGCUAACAAGCAGUCGUGGCAAAAAACGGUCCAAGGCAUGGGAUGAUUUUGUCGACAUAAAAGAUGGUAAUGGAAAGACCGUGCAGGCAGAAUGUAGACACUGUAAAAAGAGAGUUCAAUACAAAGGUGCACAAGGGCCAAGGGUGUUGACAACUCAUGUCAAUAGUACCUACUGCAAGAAUAUGCGAGAAGCACGUCCCCAGCUGCAAAGCCAUCCAAGCAUAAAUGAAGCUGCUGAAAAUGCUACUCCCGUUGCUGCCGGUAAUUCAUCCAACAGACCGAGGAUGGUAACGAAUCAAGAGCCAACAGAAAUCACCACAGCUAUUGCUCACCCUUGGGAUAAGGACGAAUUUUCGAGUAGGAUACAAAAAACAACUCAUCAGUUGAAAGGCAUCCGAGGGGAUGUGACGAAGGAUCUCAACAUGCCUGGGUCACACUCUGGUGCAAGUUCAGGUCACCAUCAAAGUACAACAGCCUCAGGUGCACGCCAAAGAACAUCAAGCCUUCUUCAAGGCAAAUUUUAUGGGAGAGUCGAAGAGAAGAACUCCAUCAUAAACCAGAUCACAGCUGGCAAAUCUGACAGUGUAGCUAUUCUGCCUAUUGUAGGCAUUGGGGGGACCGGGAAGACAGCGCUCGCACAAUUUGUAUAUAAUGAUCCGAAAGUGCAAAACCAAUUUGACCACAGCACAUGGGUCUGGGUGUCUAACAGCUUUGAUGAAAUGAGAAUCACAAGAGAGAUGUUAGAUAUUGUCCCUCGAGAAAAGCACGAAGGGUUAUGCAGCCUUGACAGACUUCAGCUGGUCUUGAAAACUCAUAUUGAAUCAAAAAGGGUUCUGGUUAUUUUAGAUGAUGUCUGGGAUGACAUGAAUGAUUGCAGAUUUAACCUAAUACUUGCUCCUUUCAAGUCAAACAAUGCAAAUGGCAGUGUGAUCCUUGUGACAACUAGAUAUCUCUCUGUUGCAAAAAGGAUAGGAACGACUGAAUCAGUUGUGUUACGUGCUCUGGGAGAUGAUGAUUUUUGGUUAUUGUUCAAAGCACAAGCAUUUCGUAAUGAGAACUAUGAAGGGGAUGGAAACCUGACGAGCAUUGGACGGAAAAUAGCAGGCAAGCUAAAAGGCAACCCGUUAGCAGCAGUAGCUGCAGGGGAACUUUUAAGAGUUGAUCUUACUGUUGGUCAUUGGAAUAAAGUUCUGAAGGACGAAGAUGGGAAGUUGCUGGGGCGCAGUGGACGCAUCAUGGCUGCUUUGAAUCUUAGCUAUGAUCAGCUGCCAUACCAUUUACACCAAUGCUUCUCGUAUUGUUCUAUGUUCCCCGACAAUCAUUUUUUUCGUGGUGAAGAGUUGAUCCACAUGUGGAUUUCACAAGGAUUUGUCAAGCAGACCCAUCCAAGUAAGAGAUUAGAGGAGAUAGGAAUGGACUAUCUGGCUGAUUUGGUGAACCUGGGAUAUUUUCAGCGAGUUGGUAGAAGAGAUUUAUAUGUUGUGUGUGGUCUUAUGCAUGAUUUUUCAAGGAUUGUUUCAAGAACUGACUGUGCAAUUAUAGAUGGUCUAGAAUGCACUGAUAUAUUGCCAACUGUACAACAUUUGUCAGUAAAGUGCAAGAAAGAUCAGCAUGGGAACGUGUCUUGGAGUAGCAAGUUUAAAGAAGAUUUGAGAAAAACAGUUAUAUCUGUGAGAAAACUGAGGACGUUACUGUUAAUCGGGCAAUAUGACUGUUCCUUCUUUCAAUCCUUCGAAGACAUAUUCCAGAAGGCACACUAUAUACGUCUGCUGCAAAUAUCAGCAACAUUUCAUGAUUUUAAUUCCCUCGUGCGCAGUUCUGUAAAUCCUACUCAUCUUCGCUAUCUAAAGCUUACAGUCAAUGAGGUGCAGGGAGAUUUGCCUCAGGUUUUGAGCAAUUUUUGCCACCUUCAAGUAUUAGAUGUCGGCUCAAACACUCAUCUUGAUGUAGCUCAUGGAAUGAAUAAUCUUGUCAGUUUGCGGCAUCUUGUUGUAGCUUCCAUAUACAGAAUUGGCAAAUUGACAUCACUUCAGACACUAAGCAAUUUUAGCGUACAAGAUUCUAAUGGCUUUCGGAUUAUAGAACUUCAAUCCAUGAAUGAUCUUGCCCAACUUAUGAUUUCUCAACUUCAAAAUGUUAAAACUCUGGAGGAGGUUUGUGGGGCAGGACUGAGAUACAAACGACACUUAGAAAAGCUGCACUUGUCCUGGAAUAUGUCACAUGUUGAAUCUGACUCGGAUGGCAGCAAUGAAUCUGACUGGGAUGACAGCAAUGAAUCUGCGAAUGUCAUGAGCUCUGAACCUUCUACCAGCAAAGAAACAGAGGAGUGCUUGCCAACAGAGGUACUUGAGGGUCUAAAACCACAUUACAAUCUGAAACAUCUUCAGAUAACAGGGUACAAUGGUGCUAACUCUCCAUCCUGGCUUGCUCGCAAUAUCUCUGUUACCUCUUUACAGACUCUGUAUUUGAAUGGAUGUGGACAAUUGCAGAUACUUCCAUCUUUGAGAGAGCUUCCGUUUCUUGCAAAGUUAAACUUGAGAAACAUGCCAAAACUAGAAGAAGUAUCGGUUCCUUCAUUGGAGAAGUUGGUGUUAGUUAAAAUGCCGAAGUUGGGGAGAUGCUCCUGCGUUUCCUUGAGGGACUUGAACUCUUGUUUAAGGGUUCUAACAAUUAAGGAUUGCCCUGCACUGAAGGUGUUUGAUCUGUUUGGGAACGGCCACAAAUUCAAAAUUGAGCAGAAGUCAUGGUUGCCACGCCUUUGUGAGCUCACUCUAAAGAACUGUCGCCUUUUGGUGGUACCACACCCUUUACCAUCUUCAAGCACUGCUUGUAGUAUUUCCAUGAGCAGAGUCCCGAAAUUUCCAAGAAUAGAGGUGUCCUCCGGCAGAAGUUUAACAAUCGGCGAGGAUUUUGAUGAGUAUGUUUUUGGUGAAGUUCCUUUUGACAGGUUAUCUGAUGAGCUGUUCGUGUUAGAUGGAAAUAUUUUGGCAUUCCAUAAUCUAAGGUUCCUGACACAGUUGAUAAUAGGUUGUUGCCGAAAACUAACGUCUAUUUCACUCAAAGGAUUAAGUCAACUUGAAUCCUUAAAGACACUGAAAAUAAACGCCUGUCCCGGGCUUUCUGGUUUUGAUGCUCCACCAGAGCAUUAUGCCCUCCCAUCACUCGAAUAUCUAGAGAUUGGGUCAUGUAGAAUAGUGUGGGGGUGGCUAUCUCUGAUUCUGCAACAUGCGCCAGCACUAAAGGAAUUGGAUUUACUUUGCUGCCCAAAGUUAGAACAUCUACAGCUGAACUCCUGCACGACACUGCAAAAGUUGAAGGUAAAUACAUGUGAAUCGCUUGGCACACUAGAUGUUUUGCAAUCCCGUUCUCUAAAGGAAUUGGAAGUAGCGGACGUCCCAAAUUUGGAAUCUCUACAGCUGCACUCUUGCACGACACUGGAAGAAUUGGAUAUUGACAGCUGUACAUCACUCUGUACACUAGAGGGCUUUCAAUCCCUUGGCAGCCUCAGGCGUUUGAGUCUACGUGAAUGCUGCAGCCUGCAUUCAUGUUUGGAGGGUUUGCCAGCGCAGGACUGCGAAUUAUGCCCUCAACUAGAAUUUCUUGGAAUCAGUGACUUCUCUUUCCUUGCCACGUCGUUCUGCAGGCAACUCAGAUCACUCCAGCGGCUAGUUAUUUGUGGUUCUGUGGAAGAAACAAAUGCAGCAGGACUAACAGAUGAGCAAGAGACAGGGCUUCUGCUCCUCGGUUCCCUCACAGAGCUCCAAUUUGAGCAUUACAAUUAUCUCAAAGAUCUUCCUGGAGGCCUGCACAGACUUGACUCCCUCCAGGUGUUGGAGAUUUCAUAUUGUCCGAGCAUCUCAGGGUUGCCGGACCUCCCGCCUUCUCUAGAGGAGUUGAGAAUCUUCUACUGCAGUGAGGAGCUGGUAGGUCAAUCCAAAUCACUAGCAUCAAGCAAGUUAAAGGUCAAAAUUAACUGGCAAUAUGUGAACUGA